CCCCGCAAUCCCCGCCCCCCUCCUCGCCAAUCCUCGUCUCACCUUCUUCCCAAUCGCCGGCCGACUUCUCUCCUCUGUUCCAUCCCCACGUGAGGUUGCAGAGGGAACUACAAGUGGAGGAGGCCAGCGGCGCGCCGCCUCUCCCCCGAGAUCGAGCCGGUCGUGGGCAGGAUGAGGUGUUGCAGGAGCGCACAUAGAGGAGCAGGGCGUCGGCGAUGCCUCGUCCUCUCCUCUUCCCCGUCCUCUCGUCUUCCUCCAUCCUUGACGUCAACAUCCGGCCUCGCAGCUCGCAUCCGACCGCACCAAGGUCGAUCCCCUUCUCGUCUCCAUUCUCCGCCUCGAUCUAGAAAUUGGGGCGCGAAUGAGGCAGGGGCGUGCCUUGGCGGAAGGAGGAGGGGCGGCCUACGGGCGGGAUCCAGGACAGGGCGGCCUACGGGCGGGAUCCAGGAUAGGGCCGGCCAAACCGUGGUGGGCGGCGGAUUUCUAGCGCAGGCGACGGCGACCUUGAGUGGAUGGAAGCCUCCCUCUCCUCGUUCAUAUCCUCGGCGCUGACUCCCAUUAGGACGAGCUAGGAGGGGCAAGAGACGAUGAGGUGAAGUUGGGGGAGGAGCUCGGAUGUGGUGGGUGAGGAUAGCUGAAGCUGGUGUUUGCGUUGGCAUGUGGUCAGGACAGUGGCGCCAUGAAUUCUUGCCAGCAAAUUCCUGACCUGCUCGUCUCCCUUGUCAUUGAACGCAAUUACGGGCAUUUCACAGCAAGAUGAGGGCCCACGCCAAUUCCUCAGCCAUUGCCAAGCUUCGAGGGAGUACAGUGCCAUCUCCUAGCCUCACCAGGUAGUCUACCCUCCCCUGGUCUGCCCUCGAUCCACAGUUGCAGCGGCCAAUUUGACAACUUGCUUAUGAGGAGGGUGGGAGAUGGAUGUGCAGUCAUGGAGGUUGUAGCCUGGCCAUAGCGCUCUCGACAGUGUCUGCUUUUAACAUCUUCCUUAUC